rnacentral:rRNA from 1 species
UACGUAGGGUGCGAGCGUUGCUCGGAAUUACUGGGCGUAAAGGGCUCGUAGGUGGCCAACUAAGUCAGACGUGAAAUCCCCGUCAGCUUAACUGGGGAACUGCGUCUGAUACUGGAUGGCUUGAGUUUGGGAGAGGGAUGCGGAAUUCCAGGUGUAGCGGUGAAAUGCGCAGAGUAGUCAGGAGGAACGACCGGUGGCGAAGGCGGGUCUCU